UACGUAGGUGGCAAGCGUUGUCCGGAAUUAUUGGGCGUAAAGCGCGCGCAGGCGGUCGAUUAAGUCGGGUGGGAAAGCCCACGGCUCAACCGGGGAGGGUCAUUGGAAACUGGGGGACUUGAGUGCAGGAGAGAAGAGUGGAAUUCCACGUGUAGCGGUGAAAUGCGUAGAGAUGGGGAGGAACACCAGUGGCGAAGGCGACUCUUUGGCCUGUAACUGACGCUGAGGCGCGAAAGCGUGGGGAGCAAACAGG
rnacentral:rRNA from 1 species